UACGGAGGGUGCAAGCAUUAUUCGGAUUUAUUGGGCGUAAAGGGCGCGUAGGCGGGAAGGAAAGUUAGAUGUGAAAGACCGGGGCUCAACCCCGGACACGCAUCUGAUACUUCCUUUCUGGAGGGUGAGCGGAGAAAAUGGAAUUCCACAUGUAGCGGUGAAAUGCGUAGAUAUGUGGAGGAACACCGGUGGCGAAGGCGAUUUUCUAGCUUACUCCUGACGCUGAGGCGCGAAAGCAAGGGGAGCAAACAGG
rnacentral:rRNA from 1 species